rnacentral:rRNA from 1 species
AUAAGCCUGGGAAACUGGGUCUAAUACCGGAUAUGACCACGGAUCGCAUGGUUUGUGGUGGAAAGAUUUAUCGGUGCGAGAUGGGCCCGCGGCCUAUCAGCUUGUUGGUGGGGUAAUGGCCUACCAAGGCGACGACGGGUAGCCGACCUGAGAGGGUGACCGGCCACACUGGGACUGAGACACGGCCCAGACUCCUACGGGAGGCAGCAGUGGGGAAUAUUGCACAAUGGGCGAAAGCCUGAUGCAGCGACGCCGCGUGAGGGAUGACGGCCUUCGGGUUGUAAACCUCUUUCGACAGGGACGAAGCGCAAGUGACGGUACCUGUAGAAGAAGCACCGGCCAACUACGUGCCAGCAGCCGCGGUAAUACGUAGGGUGCGAGCGUUGUCCGGAAUUACUGGGCGUAAAGAGCUUGUAGGCGGUUCGUCGCGUCGAUUGUGAAAACUUGCAGCUCAACUGCAAGCUUGCAGUCGAUACGGGCGGACUAGAGUACUUCAGGGGAGACUGGAAUUCCUGGUGUAGCGGUGAAAUGCGCAGAUAUCAGGAGGAACACCGGUGGCGAAGGCGGGUCUCUGGGAAGUAACUGACGCUGAGAAGCGAAAGCGUGGGUAGCGAACAGGAUUAGAUACCCUGGUAGUCCACGCCGUAAACGGUGGGUACUAGGUGUGGGUUUCCUUCCACGGGAUCCGUGCCGUAGCUAACGCAUUAAGUACCCCGCCUGGGGAGUACGGCCGCAAGGCUAAAACUCAAAG